GACGAACGCUGGCGGCGUGCUUAACACAUGCAAGUCGAGCGGAAAGGCCCUUCGGGGUACUCGAGCGGCGAACGGGUGAGUAACACGUGAGUAAUCUGCCCUUGGCUUUGGGAUAACUACCGGAAACGGUGGCUAAUACCGGAUACGACAACCGUCUGCAUGGGCUGGUUGUGGAAAGUUUUUUCGGCCAGGGAUGUGCUCGCGGCCUAUCAGCUUGUUGGUGGGGUAAUGGCCUACCAAGGCUUCGACGGGUAGCCGGCCUGCGAGGGUGACCGGCCACACUGGGACUGAGACACGGCCCAGACUCCUACGGGAGGCAGCAGUGGGGAAUAUUGGACAAUGGGCGGAAGCCUGAGCCAGCAACGCCGCGUGAGGGAUGACGGCCGUCGGGUUGUAAACCUCUUUCAGUACCGACGAAGCGCCGAUGAUGGUGGUGACGGUAGGUACAGAAGAAGCACCGGCCAACUACGUG
rnacentral:rRNA from 1 species